rnacentral:rRNA from 1 species
GAGGGAUCAUUACCGAGUUUACAACUCCCAAACCCCUGUGAACAUACCUAUACGUUGCCUCGGCGGAUCAGCCCGCGCCCCGUAAAACGGGACGGCCCGCCCGAGGACCCUAAACUCUGUUUUUAGUGGAACUUCUGAGUAAAACAAACAAAUAAAUCAAAACUUUCAACAACGGAUCUCUUGGUUCUGGCAUCGAUGAAGAACGCAGCAAAAUGCGAUAAGUAAUGUGAAUUGCAGAAUUCAGUGAAUCAUCGAAUCUUUGAACGCACAUUGCGCCCGCCAGUAUUCUGGCGGGCAUGCCUGUUCGAGCGUCAUUUCAACCCUCAAGCUCAGCUUGGUGUUGGGACUCGCGGUAACCCGCGUUCCCCAAAUCGAUUGGCGGUCACGUCGAGCUUCCAUAGCGUAGUAAUCAUACACCUCGUUACUGGUAAUCGUCGCGGCCACGCCGUUAAACCCCAACUUCUGAAUGUUGACCUCGGAUCAGGUAGGAAUACCCGCUGAACUUAAGCAUAUCAAUAAG